rnacentral:lncRNA from 1 species
UCCCUUUUUCUUUCAUUAGAUGUGGCACUUUUCAAUAGGGCAUUGACUUUUAUUUCUAAAAACCUUAUUCCCCACUAGACAUGAGUUCCAGAGCAAAAUUUAAAAUAAUCAAUCCAUUUUGAAGGGUAAAACGUGCGAGCAUAAAUAUAAGAAGUAGCAACAAUUUGUUUAUUACAACAACACAUACACAUGGAUCCUCAUGAAUAGAUGCCUCUUUUACUUGUUUAAGCUCGAUCCAUGAGAACCCUAAUAAUACUACACAUGAUUUGACAUCUUGGUUAGUGAAUCAUGGCACAUCAAUUCUUCAUGAAAUAGGUAUGAAAUUUGAUGCCCCAACAAAUUUGUGGACUAUUAUAUUUAUUAUUGAUGUAUAGAAAGUGUAUAAAAAUAGGUAUCAGUUAGUAAAAUUUAGUUUAGUAUGUAUAAACAUUUUUACUAUAUGAAAUAGGUAUGAAAUUUGAUACCUCAAAAAUUUUAUGGAAUAUUAUAUUCUUUAUUGAUGUUUAGAAUGCAUAUAAAUUGGUAUCAAUUAGUAAGUUUAAUUUAAUAUGCGUAGAUAUCUUACGGUAUGAAAUAUGUAUGAAAUUUGAUAUUCCAAUAAAAUUGUGAAUUAUUAUAUAUUUUAGAAAGUGUAUAAAAAUUGGUAUAAAUUAUUAUUGUAGGUAUUAAUAUUUUACUAUGUGAAAUAGGUAUGAAAGUAGAUACCCCAACAAAUUUGAAAUUAUUACAUCUUUUAUUGGUGUUUAAAAAGUGUAUAAAUUCCCAACUACCCAUGAGUAAAGAACAACAAAUUGUGUAUUAUUUUUAAAAAGUGUAUCAAAUAUUAAAUUUACUAUAGUAUAUAUAAAUGUUUGUAUCCAUAUUCUGCAUUGAAAUGUUUUGCUGGAAUGAUCUUUGUGUACACAAAGAAGGCCACAACCAAUAGUUGGCCCAACCCAAAUGAUCCAAUGUCCAUCCCAAAGGUGACCUCCUCUAAUAAGCGCGGGCCCCAACACCUCGCCGGAUUAAUCCCCGCCCCUCCAUAGCCCUUUUUCCCGGUGACCGUGGUCGAGAUAAACACUAGAAGGCCUAACACUACACCAACAAUGGACAAGUCCAAGAGAACCCUAAUAAUACUACACACAUGAUUUGAAUAUCUUGGUUAAUGAAUAAUGGCACAUCAAUUCUUCACAACCUUAGAGCAUUGCUUAUUAACAAAGUCCUUAACCUCAAGAAUAAGUUGUGUAGCUUCAGGAACCUCAGGGAAAAUGUAGAAAGCAUGCACCAUAGUUGGAUACUCUGAGAAGUGAACAUCUUUGCCAGACCUCUUAAGCCAGUCAUAGUACCUCCUUUGCCAAUCUUUAAGGGGAUCAAAACCACCCACGACUACCAUCGUUGCUGGAAAAUUGUCCAGCUUUGAUAUGUCAACAGCCCUUGGACCGCAAACAUUAAUAACCUCAUGAUCGCGAUCCAUCCCUUCACCUGGUGGAAGGAACGCGUUCCACAUCCAAUCUGUUCUUCUCACUGAUAUCAAUGCGUCAACUUCUACUAGUUUUAAUUCUGAUUCCGUUCGUUCCUCCCCUCCAAAAAAGGGUUGUAUAGCCACCAGUCCAAUUACCUAGAGCACAUAAUCCAGAAUCAGGGGAAUUUGUCCCUUCAGUUUAAUAUGCGUAGAUUUUGGGCAAACAGGGUAUAUUCAUUUUUAAAAGUAGCACUAUUUCAUACUAGUGAGUAGUGACAUUCAAAAUAAAUACUCAAUCUGUUUGUCUUACUUUUACAGGCAAAUUCCAUGUAAUUUGUGGGCGUGGCGAGAAGUCUAUAAUUAAAAUCAUGCACGCAACCAACUGUAACGUGAAAAAGUGCAGAGGUGGUAAGGUUUGAUUGUCAAAGGAAGAAAAUUAUGUACUAGACUCUAGAACAAUUAAUGAUUCAGAUUAACUUUCUCACGAAUUAUUAUGUUUUGUUUAGAGGCCACAUGUCUAUUUAUUUUUUCAAAAAUAGAUACUGAGCCACUUUUGCUCAAUUCCUCUCUUUCUGAGGAAUAAUUGGUUAAUAUAAUGAUCAUCUGCUAGUAUGUUUCUUUGUACUAACAUAAUUACUAAUUUAAUUUUUAAUAUUAUAUUUGGUUAUAUAAUUGUAAUUAUUAAAUUAAAAUAAAAUUUAAUUUUACAACCACCCCAUCGAACUCUGUAGGCCGGAUUUGAAUUUUGGAUUUUUCCUGAACUGGACCAGUCUGGCCCCUCUUUAUACCUAAUUUCAUUUAGGAUGAUGAAUUUAUAAGUAAGAUCUUUAAAUACUUCUGACAAAAUAUGCUCCUAUUACCUUUAAUAAUAUUAAUGGUGCCUGCUAAAAAGUCCUAACUUCAACAGUAGAAUUUUAUUAAUGUCAAACAAACUACUCCUUUGUGAAAAAUGUGUAGAAUUUCUACUUCUAAGUUCUAAACGCAAAUAAAAGUUUUUUUACAUUAAUGUAUUGAACGAAGUUAAAUCACUACAACGUGAGUAGUUAUUAAGCCAAAGAAAUUGAUCUAAAAAACGAACUAAUAACUAAACCCAAGAUAACUUUGAAUGCUUAAAAUAAAAAUAGAGAUAAUUAUGAUAUUUUGUUUCAAGUAUUAGGAAGCGCUUAAUACUUUACUUUUAUCCAAACCAGAAAAAAGGAGAAAUAAUAUGGUGGAAAAGACCAGAAAAAAGGAGAAAUAAGGCGGAGAAAAUAACUGUUUGGUGAGGGUAUGGUAGAAAAGAUAUUAAUUAAUGGAAAUAAAGAAAUAUGAUAGAGAAGAUGACUGUGUGGGUAUGGAUUGUGGUGGAAAAAACAAUAAAAAUAGAGGAAUAUGAUGGAGAAAAUGAUUGUGUGGAGAUGCUUUUAAUUUGUCAAAAUCUUAUUUUUAAUUACUUGGAUAAAAAAAAAUCACAUGUCAUUUGGUCAUUGGUUACUCUUUUUUUUAAAAUGUAUUUUGAUCUUAUUUUUUCGGGCAUUAAAUGAGUUGACAUGAUCUAAUUUAAUAUUUAAUCUAUAAUUAACACCUACUUAGAAUUUAGGAGAUUGUAAAAAAAUGACAAAAUGAUAUAGUGAAGCCUAGUAUAUUGUGUCAAAAACAAUUAAAAUAUCUAAAUAAAAAUUGAUACCAACUUUAAGUAGAUAUUGAUGUUUCGGUUUUUAUUGAAAAUGACACAAUCAUUAAAAUUUAAAACGAUAGAAAAGUUAGGCAAUACAUAAAUUAGUGACGUGACAAAUGUAUAUAGGCAUGGAAUAUAAGUAGAAAAAUGGAGAGAAAGAGGGACCAUACCUUCAAAGUUUUUUUACAUUAAUGUAUUGAACGAAGUUAAAUCACUACAACGUGAGUAGUUAUUAAGCCAAAGAAAUUGAUCUAAAAAACGAACUAAUAACUAAACCCAAGAUAACUUUGAAUGCUUAAAAUAAAAAUAGAGAUAAUUAUGAUAUUUUGUUUCAAGUAUUAGGAAGCGCUUAAUACUUUACUUUUAUCCAAACCAGAAAAAAGGAGAAAUAAUAUGGUGGAAAAGACCAGAAAAAAGGAGAAAUAAGGCGGAGAAAAUAACUGUUUGGUGAGGGUAUGGUAGAAAAGAUAUUAAUUAAUGGAAAUAAAGAAAUAUGAUAGAGAAGAUGACUGUGUGGGUAUGGAUUGUGGUGGAAAAAACAAUAAAAAUAGAGGAAUAUGAUGGAGAAAAUGAUUGUGUGGAGAUGCUUUUAAUUUGUCAAAAUCUUAUUUUUAAUUACUUGGAUAAAAAAAAAUCACAUGUCAUUUGGUCAUUGGUUACUCUUUUUUUUAAAAUGUAUUUUGAUCUUAUUUUUUCGGGCAUUAAAUGAGUUGACAUGAUCUAAUUUAAUAUUUAAUCUAUAAUUAACACCUACUUAGAAUUUAGGAGAUUGUAAAAAAAUGACAAAAUGAUAUAGUGAAGCCUAGUAUAUUGUGUCAAAAACAAUUAAAAUAUCUAAAUAAAAAUUGAUACCAACUUUAAGUAGAUAUUGAUGUUUCGGUUUUUAUUGAAAAUGACACAAUCAUUAAAAUUUAAAACGAUAGAAAAGUUAGGCAAUACAUAAAUUAGUGACGUGACAAAUGUAUAUAGGCAUGGAAUAUAAGUAGAAAAAUGGAGAGAAAGAGGGACCAUACCUUCAAUGCAUCAAAGGUCGACGUCAUUUCAGAUGCUCGCUUAGCCACGUGAUGAGCGAGGUUCCCGCCGGCACUAUCUCCGGCAAGGAAGCAGCGAGACAAAUCGACAUUUUCCGGCAAUAGCUCACGGUUCUUCUCAUUGUCAAGGAACUUCAGCACAUCAAAUCCAUCAUCAUACUGCGCAGGAUACUUGUGUUCCGGAGCUAACCGAUAAUUAACAGAGACAACAACAGCCGGGGUUUUCCUCGCGAAACGUCGGCAUACGGCGUCGUACGCCUUCGUAUCCGGGCUGAGAUACACAAAUCCGCCACCGUGAAAGAAGACGAUGAUCGGAAGUGAACUCAAAUUCCGAGAUUCAUCUGUAGUUGGAAUGAAGAGGCGAAACCAGAGAUCGCGAGAAGAAUCUACAGUGACGUCGUAGGAUUUAACGCCGUUAACUGGAUUUGGAUUGGCGGAAGUUUUAAGGCCGAAGAUCCCGAGUAGCCGGCGGUUAACGGUGCCGUUUUGACGGCGAGAAUAGUCGGUAAUUGUAGAGACGAAGGAUAGUGCAAUUCGUGUCCUCCAAGGAAUUCCCGGAGAUGAUUUCUUCUCUUGUUGCGCCAUAGAUGAUGAAAGAAAAAAACGGAGAGAAAUCGUGAUGUGUGGAAGCAGAAAAAUCAGUUGUGAAGAAAGCACAAUAAGUAAGAUUUAAGAGCCUGUUUGGCCAAGCAGUUGGGGAGUCCAAAAAGCAAAAAAAAAAAACAAAAGGUAUUUACUUUUUUAAGAAAUGAGGUGAUUGACAAAUUAGUGAAAUCACUUUUUAAUAAAAAUAGAAGCCGUUUUUUUAGGUUGGAACGAAGAAAAAAAAUCAAUUUAGAAAUUUUUAUUUUUAUUUUUAUUUUGAAAAAUAGGUGAGUCACUUUUUAAAAAAAAUAAAAAAUAAAAAAUAAAAAUUGUGGGUUAAGCUAAACCCGCCCCACACGGCUCCAUUGCCAUCCCUAUCCCCCAACUUAGGUUACAUGCCCACGUUGAAAAUAGGUGAGUCACUUAUUUAUUUAUUUUUUAGUGUUUGAUAAGUAAGUAAGAAAAUAUUAUUUUAAAGACAUUUACAUCAUAGGGGGAUCCAGGAUUUAGAGUCUAUGGGUGCCAAAUAGACUCAUCGACUAAAUCAACUUUAUGUUUGAUUUGAAUUAUUCGUCUUUUUUGAUCUAUGUGACAACUCAAUCAAUAAAAUAGGAUUAAACAACAAUUAUAAAAAAAAUUUAUGAAAAAAAAGAGCUUGUAGGCUAUUUAUGAAAAAAAAUUAUGGUAGUUGAGGCUUGAAUUUCAAGAAUAAAAAGAUAUCAUAUAAAUUGAUAGAGUAUGUAUAUAUGUAGGAGUUUAUGGAUGAUUUUUUAUUUUGGGUUACAUGAAAAUAGUACCAAGACUUAUAUAAUUAUUUGUCAAGAUUAUUGAUGAUCUUUCCGUUAUAUUUUCUUGUUGGAGAAUAUUUGAUGCAUUUAAGUGUUUAUGAAAUUAUGAAAUUAUUGAGAAGAGAAAAAAAUAAAAUUAUACCCUUUUCUUUUUUUGUAUUAGUUAAUAACUUUUUUUACGCGUUCUUUAAAUAAUUAUAAAUAAAAAUGAUAAUUUACUAUUUUACUCUUUAAGAUAAUUUUUUGCAAUUUUUUACAAAUUUUGGUUACACUUUCAAGAAAAAUUAAUUGUUAGUGUAAUGAAAAUAAAAAAAAUAUUGUUUAAUUUUGUUAAUUGACAAAUAUUUAGUAAUGUAAAUGAUUAAUAUAGGAUAGAAAAAAAUAUCAAAUGUUAGAAGUGGGAUGAAUUAGGCUAAAUUUCAUACUUAUAGACUAAUUAAAGAUAAGGAAAGUAGCAAAAUAAUUUGAAAUAAUGGCAAAAAAAAAAAAAAAAAAAAAAGGUCGAAACGUUGAUUAUGAGAGGAGCCUUAAACGUUUCAACAGUUUUAAAAAAAAGAAAAAAAGUAAAAUGUUAAGCGAAUUCAAUCCCACGACCUAAGGCUCAAGUAUUCAACCUUUUACUAUGGGUGACACGUAUAUUAUUUAUCUAUAUGUUGUAUAUAUAUACCUAUAUAUACAUAAAGUUUUCAUCGAAGCUUGUGGGUAGUGUGGCACCCCCAUCAUCCUGAAUAGAUCUGCCCUUCAUUUACAUGUUAUCUAGCUAAACGUUAUCCAAGCGAAUAAGGAUAGGGAGUGGGGGAGUAGGGGUUUUGGGGGGGAGAGUAUGUGAUGGUCAAGGGGUGUGGGUUGUGUGUUGGUGGGAAGGGAGAGAAACGAUAAAUUUGAAAUGUUAGUAUACAACUUUUUUUUCAAGUAUCAUAAGUUGAUUAAAUAGUUAACUAUAUAAUAAAUAAAAAGACAUUUAAAAUAAGGGAAUUUUAGACGAUUUUCAUAGUGUUAAGAGCUAAUUACAUUAUAUUUCUAUUCUUUUUCAAAUUACAAAAAAUCCUUAAAUUUGGUGGAAUUCGGAUACAUCCCCAAACGUCCCGGUACAUCGCAUCUCGAUUUCUGAUACAUCGUUCAAUGCCCCGAUACAUCGCGUCUCGGUUUCGGAUACAUCACUCAACGUCUCAAUACAUCGUGUACAUCCUGAUACAUCGCGCAAAGUGAUGUAUUCGACCCCAAUACAUCGCGUAAAGUGUUGUAUCCGAUCGAUACAUCGCGUAAAGUGAUGUAUCCGAGAAUAAAGAGAGUAGGAAUUCUUGUAAUUUUUCCAAAUGGUGAAAUUUUUUAGAAAAUAAAGUAAAACAGGUUGUGUAUUUAAGUAAUUUUUUCAUAUAAAACAACCAGAUCUUUUAUAAAAGAGAGAGAAACUUGUUGAAACAACAUUUUACAUCGAGUGGUACUUGGUACCCAAAUUCUAUUACACAUUUAUUAUUGGCCCAUAAAAAGGAAACCCAAAACUAAAUGCAUCUGGGCCUUUAUACAUUCGACCCAAACAAAUCCUUAACAACUCCAACAAAAUCAUGCUUGUAUCCAUAUUUUGCCUGGAAAUGUUUUGGUGGAAUAAUCUCUGUGUACACAUAAAAGGCUACACCACUAAUAGUAGGCCCAAUCCAAAAGAUCCAAUGUCCAUCCCAAAGGUGACCUCCUCUAACAAUCGCGGGCCCCAAACACCUUGCUGGGUUCAUCCCUACCCCGGCGUAGCCCCUUUUCGAGGUAACCGUGGUUGAGAUAAACACUAGAAGGCCUAACACUAGACCAACAAUGGACAAGGCAGUGACAAGGCCUAGAGCCUUAGCUUGUCGAUGAUCAUAAGCCAUCCAAAUUGAAGCAAAGAAUAAAACAAAUGUACAAAAGAUCUUAAGCCACAAGGCUUGGGCCGUCUCUAAGGCCAAAGUAACAGGACCAUUUGGUCCCGGUGCAAUUACUGUGAUAGUGCAACCACCAAGUGAGAAAUUGUCUUCAAUGGUUGAAUUAACCACUGCUUUGAGAGCUAGUGCACCUAAAACAGCACCAAGACAUUGAGCCAUAAUGUAAAUUAUGGCUCUUGACAUAGAUAUAAUUCCGACUAGCACAGCUGAGAAGGAGAUAACCGGGUUGAGAUGGCCUCCGGACACUGGAACAACCGUCAGGUAGGGGUGUACAUGACCGGGUUGGUUCAGGUUUUUCAAAUAUCAAACCAAACCAUUUGUGUAAAAAAUAAUAAUUUAUAAACCAAACCAAACUAAUAAAAUUCAUAUUUUUUUGGGUUUUUCAACCUCGGGUUGGUUCAAGUUUUUCAAAUACCAAACCAAACCAUUUUGUCGAAUUUUUAAAUUUAUAAAUCAAACCAAACUAAUAAACCUCAGAUUUUUGNNNNNNNNNNNNNNNNNNNNNNNNNNNNNNNNNNNNNNNNNNNNNNNNNNNNNNNNNNNNNNNNNNNNNNNNNNNNNNNNNNNNNNNNNNNNNNNNNNNNNNNNNNNNNNNNNNNNNNNNNNNNNNNNNNNNNNNNNNNNNNNNNNNNNNNNNNNNNNNNNNNNNNNNNNNNNNNNNNNNNNNNNNNNNNNNNNNNNNNNNNNNNNNNNNNNNNNNNNNNNNNNNNNNNNNNNNNNNNNNNNNNNNNNNNNNNNNNNNNNCUUAGUGUUGAAUUGAUUUUCUUUUUGCAUUAGUAUUAAUUUGAUUUUGAUUUAAGUUAUAUUAUAAUUAUCAACAUCUAUGAACUAUAAUCUUUAUUGGACCAUUCCGAAUUCUAAGUUUUAAACUUGAAAUAAUAUAUUAAAGGAUAAAAACUAUGAAAUAGUAUAAGAAGUAUUUUAAAAUUAUAUCAAAGUAAAUAAUUUUAUGUAUAAAAUAAAAUUUUAAAAUUACAUAUAUAAUGUCGAGUUGGUUUGGUCUCGGGUUGGUUUUUUUAAGUUAAAACCAAACCAACCCACAUAUAGUCGGGUUUUUUUCCAAUACCAAACCAAGUCAAACCAGGUUUUUUUUCCGGUUUGACUCGAUUUACGAUUUGGUUUGAUUUUCGGUUCGAUUUUGUACACCCCUACCGUCAAGAGUAAAAUUGUGAGCACAAUUGCUAUGAGAAUUGACAUGAUCAAAUUUGACAUCUUCAUGUCAGUUUCCGAAAUAGAGAUACCGCUGAGCCUAGGAGUUCUCCCAUCGCUCGCCAUACCUACAUUAAUUUUUUUAAAAUUUUUAGGCACUGACAAAUAUGGUCAAUUAAUUAGUGAUUCAAAUCAAAAUAUAUUACUAACAUCCAAAGAAAAGAAGUCAGGAACGCCCGGUCUUUGAGAGAGUGAGAGAAAAUUUUGCUUCUUUCCGCCAUCAUCAAUAGUAUUCCUAAUUAUAGGGAGUGAGAUAAUAAAUAUUAGUUGAGUGACCAUCUGAGAAAAUCAAACUUGACAAAAAUAAAGAAAAGAUGAUAAUAAAUGAAACAAGAAAUUAAUUUCACACAUACUUUUUUGGUGUGGAAGAGUAAGGUUGAACUCUAUUAGUACCACCAGAAAGCUGGCUUUCUUCAUCACCGAAAAAAACAUUACUGUUGGAACCCAUUUUUUAGGAGAAAACUAAGAUAGUUACGAGUAUUUAUCUUAAGCUUUUAAUGCAUUUUCCCUGAAAUAUUGUGCAUGGAUAUGGGGUUAUAAAUAUUCCUUUCCAACUACCACUGCCUAACCUAUCUUUUUGUUGUUACUAAAAUACAAGAAAAGAAAGAAAGUUACGUCUACGUAUAUAUCAAGCAAAGGAGACCAAUUUUACUGGAGGAGUCAAUUCAUUUUGUUAAAUAUGCACUAUUGACACUCAAACUGUUAAUACUCUUAAAAAGUGAAAAUAAGAAGUUCGUAAAAGAGGUCAUUCCUUUCCUUCGUAACUUCAAGCUUAUAUAUAGGCAGAUACUUAACAAACUAGUUCCACUAAAAUAGGGUAAUAGGAUCCUUGUAAAGUAUUAGUGUGUAGUUAAGAAUUAACUAAUAGAAUGAGGGGUCAUUUGGCCAUUUUCUCAAAAAUAUGUGAAAUUUUCAUCGUUGUUGUAAAACUUAAGAACAAAAGAUCAAUAUAAAGAUAAAGACAAGAAGAAUAUAAGACAAGGGGAACAAUAUAAGAUAAUUUCUUUCUUUCAAGUGUUUACCAAAUCUUCAAGUGUAUACAAUGUGAACUUGUAUACUUCUAUUUAUAGUGUAACAUAGAGGCAUAUAAAAGGUUGGUCAUAAACAUGACAUUAAUCAUGAAUAUAAUGGAGGAGGUUAUGGAGAUGUAGUGUUACAAGAGUAAUGUUUAUAAAGGUAGAGGUUAUGGAGGUUAUGGUUAUCUUCAUAAUGGAGGAAAUUUAUGGAGAUAAUGGGUAAGAGUAACUUCUAGGUGUAGUGGACAUCCACACUACAAUAUUUUAUAACACUCCCCCUUGGAUGUCCAUAGAUAAUAUGUCUCGUUAAAACCUUACUAGGAAAAAACCAUGUGGGAAAAAAUUCCUAGUGAAGAAAAAAGAGUACAUAAAUUUUUUAAUACGCUUUGAAUGUUGUCUCGUUAAAAACCUUAUCAGGAAAACCCGGUUGGGAUAAAAUCAUGGUUAAGGAAAAGAGUACAACGCGUAUUUUUCUCCCCCUGAUAAAAACUUUACUUGAUAUCUCAGAGACGAUGCAUUCCAAUAUUAUAUUACAACUUCUCAAAUAUUGAUGUUGACAAUCCUUAGUGAAUAAGUUUACAAGAUUAUCACUUGAAUGAGUCUUUGAACGUCUAUCUCACCAUUUUGUUGAAGAUCAUGUAUGAAAAAGACUUUUGGUGAAAUAUACUUUGUCUGAUCUCCUUUAAUUGUAUCCUCCCUUAAAUUGAGCUAUAUAUCAUUUUCGUAUAUGGUGGCUGAAAUAUCAUUUUAAAAAGAAAAUCACAUAUUUUAUGAAUAGGAUAGAUCAUGAUUACAACCAAACACACUCUCGACUUACUUCAUAGAUCAAUAUUAUUUCUGCAUGAUUUGAAGAAGUGGUUACUAAUGUGAUUCUUUGAAUUUCCAAGAUAUUGUUGUGUCUCCAUAUGUAAAUAAAUAGUCCAUUUGUGAUCGAGGUUUAUGCAGAUCAAAUAAAUAUUUUGCAUCUACAUAAUCAAAUCAUUUCUGACUAGGGGAUUGAUCAUUUCAAUUUUAUUGAAGCUCGUCUUUUCUUCUGAAAGAAAAUCACAUAUCUUUUAUGUGUUGAGUCACUUGCUUUGUUAGUUUCUUGUCAUAACUUGAAUAAUAAUAUGACAAUCAUUUCACAUAACUUUCGUUAUGUAUAUCAAAUAAUCUUCUAGCAUUUUCAUAACCAGCAAUCUAUUAGUGCACCAAUUGCACUAAUACAUGACAUUUUAAAUCAUUUUCAUGAGAUAAAAAAGAUUUUUUCUCUGUGUUAAGCAGUCUCAAAACCAUUGGGUACUCAAUGGAAUUGCUUUAAGACCUUUUAAAUCCUUUAAGGAUUUUCAUAAAACCGUCAUCGUCUAGUUAGACAUAAUAAUCAUUCAUUAUGCAUAUUCAAGUAUUUCAUCUAUUGCUAGACUGAAACAAGUCUCAUUGCAUCCACCACUGGAGAAUAUAUAUCCAUUUAAUAAUGUCAGAAUUUUUGCGAAAACCCUUUAUGCCACAAGGCACAAACCUCACUUUAUAUCUUACGGUUAUACUUUCGCACAAUGAUUCAUUUGUACCACACUGACAUUAUAUUUUGAUCCAUGAACAAUAAGAUAAAAAAACACCACUUUUCUAAGUGAAAUAAAAUAUACUUGAAUAGUGCCAAUCAUUUAUCUGUCCACACUAAAUGACAGAUUCGAAUUUAAGAUCCUCGUACCCAUUUAUAACAUUGAGUGUUACUUCAUAUGAAAGAUACCGUCGACAGUCAUUUUGAUAUCAAUUCCAAUAUGACAUAACUUAUCGAGAUCUCUUCAUUUUUCAUCAUUUUCAUGUACCUUUGCCAAGGUACAUGAACCUUUGCCAAGGUUUUAUGAAGCAUUAUGUCAUAGUGCUCUUUCAAAGCACUUACCUCAUUAUCAUGACCAUUUUGAUAAUUUCCUCCUCUCCUUCCUCAAGGAGUUUUACGUUUGGAAUCGAUUGGUAUACCACGUAAUUUAUAGCGUACCAUAGACUAUGUCCUUCAAGGACUAUUUAUUAGAGCAUUUGCAGCUUAAUUAAAUAUUGGGCCAGAAAAUACAUCUGGCAAAUUAUUUGCAACAUUUUACAAAUGAAUUAUCUCUUGAACUUCAAGUUCACUUUUUUUAACAAGGAUCUAGAUAAUUCACCCCAUACAUAAUUUUUUGCUGCGAAACAUAUCUCCCCCUAAUGUUAGGAAAUCUAACAUUUACCCCCAACCUCAUUUGGGGAUCCAUCUUUGUGUGUGGUAGAGCAAUAAAAUCAUAUCUGCACACAUCAAAUUUUAGAUGGAAAUUAUUUGGUUCCUGACUCUGAACCAAUUGUGAUGGGAGAACCUUGUUGGCUUGAUGCAUACAUGUUAAAUAAAUUCAUCUCAUACCAAAUUUUAUUUGAGAGAUUUGUUCUCAUAAUCAAUGGUGUAGCUAUAAUUGGAGGCAAACAAUUUCUGCUAAACCAACCAGUAUUAUCAACAUAAUUUUAUACUUUGGAAUUGUGCUCUUAAUUUAAUAAUUCGAGUAAACAACCUUACAAAACCAAUUUGUAAGUUGAUACAAUGCACAUGUGACCAUACCAUAGAUGUAUCUAUUAAAUCAUAAUAGUAAGCGGUCCACAUGACAGGUGAACGGGCUCAUAUUCACCUUUUUAUAUGUUCCAAAUAAUUUCAGGGGAUACAAUCUCAACCUUAGUUGGUACAAUGAUCAUUUUAUCAUGAAAACAAGCAACACAAGAGAAUUCUUGAAGAAUCUUUUAUUUCUACAAAAAUAUAGUCACAUAAACUCUCAAUUUCUUUUGCAACACAUUUUAAUCGAAAUGGCCAAUCGAUUAUGCCAACUGAUAUUUAUUCUAGUAACCUUGUAGUUUACUUUUGCAUGUGAUUCCAUCAUCAUGCCUAUAUUUGUAUACAACAAACAAGAGAAAGGCGGGUAACCUUUUAUGUAAAUAUUCAUAACCCGCUUUGAUUGUAGUAAUUUGAAGAUAUUUAAUCUUUUAAUAAUUUACAGUCUCAAUAUAAUAUUUUUUCAAUUCCUCUGAAACUUAAAAAGUUUCUUUUGAGACUUACUACAACCUCAAUAUUAUGAAUUAUUUUUAUUUCUGGAUAGUAACAAAUUAGUUCUUCCGAAAUUCUUAAUUAAGUUUGUGUACUGCCACAAAUUUCACAACACCAUUCUUAUGGUGACCAUUUCCUUCAAGGAGAAAAUUAUUAUUAUUGUCAUGGUUAAAACUAUUACAUGCAAGACUUAUUUCUUGACAACCAAUGACAAAUUUGUGUUGCCACACAACAACAUUUAUUUUGGUCAUGACCAUAACCUUUAUAGAAAAAAAAUAUUUCUUUCUUUGUCCUCCAAUAGUUCAUAAUAAAACAUACCACAAUAUUUGUGUAGUACUCAAAGUAUAUGACCAAAAUGACCAUUUAUGUCAAAAUAUUUAUUUUCAAUAUCUCAAACCUCCCGCAGAGGUGAGAUGUGACAUUUAUCCAACCAUACAUGAACAUGUCCUUAUCCAUACGAACACAAGUCACAUUCUCUUCAAGAAAUGAACCACAACCAUUUGUAUAUGCUCCAUAAGUUUUUAUCAGAAACUCAUUGUCAUGCUUUGGCAUUAUCAAAUUUAUGUGACUUACCUCAACAUCAUUUUAAGAGGUCAAAUGUAUUAAAUGUACUACCACUUUGUAUUCCUUUAUUUUGAUGGAGGAUUUUCAAAAACUUUCAAAUUGGGUUGCACUAACCCAAUGUGCCCAAUAACCUUUCAUACCACUUUGAUGGCCAAAAAUUACCUUCACAUUUGAAGGACCAUCUUAAGAACCCAUAAUGUUCUUCCUUUUAAUUACCACAAUUGACCAUUAUCAUUUACCACACUCAUAUUCAUACAUUUAACCACUUGUCAUUUUCAGGACACAUUAUGUCCUGCUACCACAUUCACAUAAGAGAAUGGAGCAAAUCAAUUGGACAAACUUCACGACUUAUAUCAAGAGCAUAUCAAUUUGCUCGGUCAUUAUUACAUACUCAUUAGAUAACGUUGGGACUUGAACCCAACGUCUUACCCACAAGAAGGCAUUUUAGGUCAUUAUUUGUUGGGACCCAACCCAAUAUUUUAUUAUCAUGAUGCACUAGGAUUCUCACCCGAUGUAUUAUAUACCCUCUUGGUGCGAUCGGACUUGAAUCAUUCGUGUUAUCCUUAAUCAAUGAAAUAAUAAGCCAAAUAUAAUAGGACUCACCAUUGAGCCUUAAAAAAUAUUGUCACUUUGUGAUUAACAUGCACAAAUAAAUAUAGAACAAAAGAAACACAAUAAAAAUAUUCUCAACAAAUAUGUACUAAUAUCUUAAACUUGUCAAAACAAAAGUUACAUAUAGCAUCAUAUUAUAUUAUAUUUGUUGCACGAUAAUUAAGCUAGUGAAUUACCGUUAUAAAUCAAGGAAUAAAUUGCACACUAAGAAAUUAAUAAUUACAAUUACACUAAAAUAAAACUGCUCACUAUCACCACCCCUUUUUCAAUUUCCAUGUGAACCAAAAAAAUUUCACACUGUAACAUCUCGCUAAUUGAAAGAACUAGAAAGAGUUAGAAUUGGAAAUAGUCAUUUUAGGAAGGAAUGAAAAAACUGGAAAUUUGUUAAGUUAUGUUAAGUUAUGUUAAGUUUGGGUUUUUGGUCAACUUCAAACAACCAUAACUCCUAGAUCAUUAUGAAUUAGGUGUGCUUCCAGAUACCGUAGGAAAUAUCUUGGAAUUAUCUUUCCAACGCCGCUGAGUUUGUGCGAUUCCAAGUUCGUAUAAGUGAGCUAUGUCCAUUGGAAGUUGGGUUGUUCGAAUAAGAAAAGUGUAAUCCGGAUUUUGGAAGGGUAGUUUGGUCUUUUCCUUACCAAAUUACUUUAUUUCAUUUUUAGGAGUUUAAUUGGGGUCUAACGGAACUUGGUCAGUUUACGCUUUGGAAAACUAAGUUAGGGUUUUGAGAAAAGAGAAAAAAAGAGGAGAAAGAGCAAGAAUCGUCGAGUUCUUCAAGAAUCGCUUGUGGAUUUCGUCAUGGGGUGAUCCCUAUGAGGUAUAUGAGACUUUCAUAACGUUGGGUUCGUUCAUCCACGUGCCAAGCAUGUUUAUUUCAGCGUAAAUUCGUCCAAAAAAGGUUGAAAGUUUGAUGUUCUUGAUAUGUGUUCAUGAAUUUGUCUUCGUUCUUGAAUUGGACUGAGAUUGAGAAGUUUUGAGAUUAUUGCGUCGAAUUAUGGAGUUGUUUUGAGUUAGGUUCUUAGGUACAUUUACUGGGUAUCUGAAUAUAAAGAGAAUUUGGGAAAAAGAACCGAGUUUAGGUGAAUUGGGCUGGAAAAUGAAGAAGAAAAAAGUCAGCCGAAUCUGGGUACAAGGUCCGCGACGCGGACCUGUUCCUUAGGAUGGGAGAAUUUCUCCUCGCGUCGCGGAUCAGUCACGGACCGUUCUGCCUCAAAAAAUUAUUUUCGCGACCAAAUAUUUAAAUACAUUUUCGCGUCACAGACUAGUUUUCAUACAGUGAUUUCUUGAUCUUUUCUCAUGUUUAACUAUCUAAAAAACACUCCUAGACAUCAUGAGAUCCUUCUUAUCACAAAUCACAAUCCUUGAAUCCAUAAUUCAAUUCAAGGAAAGUUAAGAGUCAAGUCAAGAGGUUAAGAGUUAAGUCAAGAGAAGUUCAUAAAGUAUUUCACAAACGUUUUAACUUUGUUUUAAGACUUAAGCUUUGAGUUGAGAAAAGAGGAAGAGUAAAGUUCAUUUCUUCAAAGAUUAUACAGGAACUAAGUCCCAAGAGUUAAAAAUGUUUUCACUUUUGAGCAAGAAGGGAAACACCGAUUUCCAAGAGAACUUUUAAGCUAAGUUUUGAGUAAUUAUCUCAAACCAAAGAAAGAAGUUUUGUUUUAAAAACAUAUGAGCUAAGUAUAUUUUGGGAGUAGUAUUGAGCACCGAUAUGGGAAUGCGAGUUCAUAAUAACUCAAGUCUCCAUAAACCAUGUAGUCAUCAUGGGUAGUAAAAGAUCAUACUUUUUAAAUGAUUCCUUAAGUGCUUUUUAGCAUAGACUAGUGGAUCCACUUAGUUAAGGCGUUCUAUAUGACGACAAAGUAUAAGACAGUUCUGACAGCGUGGGAAAGACGUUGUAUCACCACUUAGGCUCAAAGUAGUGGUUGUUAGUUAGAGAAACUCCCACAAUAUUACAUUACUUUAUUAUAUGAGUAAGUUGAGUUGCUAUUGCAUUUUCUUUAACAAACUGAGUUGUUUUCUACUGUUUUAAAAAGUUUUCUAUAUAUUGCAUGUGUAUUAUUGUUUUAUAUCGAGUUAAGUUAUUCAUGAGUUGAGUAAAGCCAAGGUAAGUGUUUCUUUCAGAUUCCUUUCAAGCUUAUGUUAUGUUUAGUAUUCCCCUUGCAUACGUGUACAUUCAAUGUACUGAUGCCAUUUGGCCUGCAUCAUUUUAUGAUUGUAGACACAGGUAAUCAGGAUCAGCAUCCAGGGCCCCGUUGAUCCAGUUAAGCACUCAGAGUCAGUUGGUGAGCCUCCUUGCUUUCCGGACGACUCCUUUUACUUUGCUUUCUAGUAUUUCAGUUGUUAGGAUGAUUGGGGGUCUUGUCCCGACAUCCCUUCUUGUUUUAGAGGCUUCAUAGACAAUUAGUAGUUCAAUUGUCUUUACAUUAUUAUUUCAUAUGUUAAGACUUGAGUUGCCAUUUUGACCAAGUUGAAUGUUUGACCUUUAAACGUUAUAAGAUAUUUUAUUAAACAGUUGAGUAGAAGUGCAUUUGAUCAUUGUAAUAAUGCUUAGAGUCUUCCGCUGAGUAAGUAAGCCAGACCAAUGGUUCGCUUGGGGCCAACAAUGGUUCUCGAGUGUCAGCCACGUCCGGGGUGUAGGCUCGGGAAGUGACACACACCCAAAACAAAAUCAAUUUAAAGCUUAUGUAAUAACCAAAACAGUGAGCAUAAUCAUAAAUAAAAUAUAAAAUAAGUUUCACAUACAAAAGAAAGUAUAUAUAGUCAUAGGUGGAAAAAAAUGCAUAGUAACAAUAGUAUUAAUCAUUCACCUUGUUCACAAGUAAAAUAUAAAAUAGAUUCCACAAUAAUUUACCUUGUUUUAGGGAGAAAAUAAACACAAUUAUUUUACCUUCUUUUAUUUACUUUGCUUCAAUCCUACAAUGGUAGAACAUUCGUGCUGAUAACAUGUUGUAAAGCUUAAAACAAAAGAACAAUAUAAAGAUGAAGACAAGAAGAAUAUAAGACAAGGGGAACAAUAUAAGAUAAUUUCUUUCUUUUAAGUGUUCACCAAAUCUUCAAGUGUAUACAAUGUGAACCCUUAUACCUCUAUUUAUAGUGUAACAUAGAGGCAUAUAAAAGGUUGGUCAUAAACAUGACAUUAAUCAUGAAUAUAAUGGAGGAGGUUAUGGAGAUGUAGUGUUACAAGAAUAAUGUUUAUAAAGGUGGAGGUUAUGGAGGUUAUAGUUAUCUUCAUAAUGGAGGAAAGUUAUGGAGAUAAUGGGUGAGAGUAACUUCUUGGUGUAGUGGACAUCCACACUAUAUGUAAAAUUGGAGGUAAUAUUUAAUUGUGUUAAUCAAUAAAAAACUUUCUAAACUAAUUUUUCUCCUGUCCUGCUUUAUGUAAAAUUGUUAUUGUUUGGGUGGAGGGGGGUAGAAUAUUUUUAAAAAAAUUCUUUGACAAUGUGAUUUUCUCAAACUUUCUUUAAAUAUUUUGAGUCGUUAUUUAUGUUAACAUAGUAUGUUUCAUGUAAUUUCCAUUUUAAGAAAUUUGAAGAAAAAUCAGUAUAUGUAAAUUUAUAAUCAAAAUUGAGUGAGCUCCAAAGGCAUAGCUUGAGUGGCAAAAGGUGGAGGAUUUGUGACUUAGGUCACAGGUUCAAGCCCCACACCAUGCAAAUCAAGGUUGUGAUUGAUCCAAAGGGCGGUGGGUCACAGGCGGAUUUCUCGAUUAUCAAAAUAAAAAAAAAUCAAAAUUGAGUGAUUUAACUUUUGUAUAAUGAAUCCCUUCCCAUAAUUUAGGAGUAAUAAAAUAUCAUUUAUCUCUCUUACAAAAAGUCAAGUAUUUGGAAACUAAUUAAGUAAUAUGGAUAGACAAUUGAUGUUGAGAAGUGGAGGAAUGAUUUUUAUUUUUUUUUAAAAUAGAUACACCAAAUGUUAAAAUAUGUAAAUUAAAGAACACGUACAAUUGUGGAAAAUUAUUGUUAUGUAUGUAGAAAAAUCACAAGGGAAACUAAAUAUCCAAUAAUAGAGAUGGAGAUCAAAUAUCUUAUUUGACAGAGUGUGUCAUCAAUAUUUCCCUAUUUGUAUGGAAGUAUCAAUCAUGAGACUUGGGAUUUGCAUUGAUGGCUCCAUGAUAUGUGGUUUAAUAAAAGUCAUGUUCAUUCUAAGUGUAAAAUGUGUACAAUUAUUUCUUUUGUUUUAAUUUUUGUUCUGUAAUUUUUUUCACACCUCUUAAGAAAAUACUUCUACUUGUUCAUUUUUGACUUUGCACAAUUUUUAAGAAAUUAUAAAUAAAAGCGUAAUUUUACUAUAUCACACAUUUGAAUAUAAUAAAUACAAUAUCUUGAAAAAAUGUAAUAGAAAAAUCACUGUUAUUAAUAAUAAGGAUAAAUUAGGUACUAAGUGUAAAAUUAUUUAUUAAUUUCAUAAAAUUGACAAGUUUUAUUAAACAUCUCAAAAUAAUAUGGUGAAUAAUUGUUAUUGGAUGGAGGGAAUAUUUCUUUUAUUAUUCUUGAUUUUUGUGUUGCAUACUUCCGCACUAAUUCAUGCACCAAACAAGUUAUGAUGAUAUAAUAUAUUACUCUUAUAUACUUCAUUCAAUUUAGGUGAUGGCGGCUGAAUAGUGGAUAUAAGAUUUAGGAAUAAAAAAAAGAUUUUUUGAACAUGUCAAAACCUGUAGAUAUUUAUAUAAUUAUAUAUUAUCCUAUUAAAAAUAAAAUAAAAAAUUUAAAAUUAAACUAUUAGUACUAAAUAUAAAAAAAAAAAAUUAUUUUGAGACAGAUUAUAUUAUAAGAAAAAUCACCCCACAUAUAUAUUUAAGGAACAAUAUUACGGGUUUUAAAUCUACUUUUAAAAUAUUCUUGCUUAUAACAGUUUAAUUACGGGUUAUAACAGAUCACAUUUAUUUGAAAAUCAAUUAAAUUUUAUUUUAUUAAAUAAAUACUCUUUUAUAAGUUUAUAUUUAUUAUUAAAUGAUAUAAAUAAAUAAUCUACCAUAAUUAUCUCUUACACAUUUAUAGGGAUUUUACCUUGAUUCUUGUUUCUUUUUUAUUGUUACACAUCAACCCACACCCCUAAUGUCACCAUGCUUCUUCUAGUCAGCAACCCACCACCCCCAAAAAUGGACGUGAUGGCAUUCGUCUUAACCCACCAAGACAAGUCAGCCUAAAACCCAACUAUUACAAUACAAUGCGGAAAUUUUUAUAAUAAACUCAAAAAUACCCCUUAAAUCUGGUUGUUACAUGUACAAGCCUCUAAAGUAUUACAAUUGAAUCAAAAGAAAAAUACAAGUCUCAUAUGACAUUGUUUCUAGGAGUAAGAAGGUCUACUGAGUUGACAAACAACUACCUCACAAAUCUCUAAGAAGCCUCGAAAAAGAAGAGAAUAUAUUAUAAAGGUCCAGGCUAGUAACCUACAAAAAAAAAAUGUAGUAGCAAGGGGUGAGUACCAAACCACGCGGUACUCAGCAAGUAAACGUCUAAACACAAGCUAAGAGGAUAGAAUACGAGUACUCCUUACACCCCAACCGAACCUCCACAACUACAACAUACAUAAAAUCAGCCCAACCUAACAGUUCAUAAUUCACAUAGCACAUAUCUCAACAGCAACAUUCUAACAAUCACAUAUUCUCAACAACAAGCUCAAUAUUCACCAAUUAAAGUUCCACAGAAAGGCACUCACAAGAUCAGCAAAACACAAUAUCAAGUUCACUAAUGAUAAAUAUGAGCAAUGCAAUGGAAUGCAAUUUCAAGUAUAGUGAUGCAUGUCUGACCUAGUGAUACAUACCCCGCUGUCUCUCAGUCCGGGACCCAUGGGGAACAUAUAUGUCCAUGCAUCCAUCGCGGCGCGCGAUACGACCCUCGAUAAUAGUAACCAUCGCGGCGUGCUAUACGUCCCUCAAAAAAUUGUAUCCAUCGCGGCGCGCGAUACGUCCCUCGGAAUGGUACAUCCUCUUAUCACAUAACACUUAUCACAACCAUGUCUCAAAACCAAUGCAAAUGACAUGUUCACAUAAAUAAUGAGGAGAUGACCAUUUUUAUAACAAUACAUACAACUGUGAUACAACAUCAACAAUGAUUCAAUAAGCCUUUCAAUCCAGUCUCAAACAUCACACAUCAAUAAUUAAACACAUUGCCUUUUAUUACCCCUUUUUCAUCACUACGAAGUAAUCAAUAUGUACAAGUCAAUCCAUCACAAGUCUCAUUACCCCCAAACACAUAUCACAAGGAAAUACACGAAUUUCAUACACUUAACAUGGGUUUAGAAAUCCACUUGCCUCAAAUAGUCGAACAAUCACUUUGGGACUUGAAUCUUCCCUUUUGCUGGACUUCCAAAUCAAUACAAUCUAUUCAAAUAGAUAACCACAAUAAGAUUUCGAAACUAACAACACCCAUAUUACUAUAGGUCUAGCGUAGACCCAAAAUCUCAUACAAACCUAAAAUCAAGUUCCUAAAUUUUGAUGUCCAUUAACAUGUCAAUUCUCAUGUUUUUUUUCAAAUUUCAAGGCUAGGGUUAAGUUCCAAUAUAUCAAACCUUGAAUCAUAAUGUAAUAAGCUUAAGAAAAUUCUUAACAGAAAUUUGGAUAAUAAAUUACCAAGAUAAUAUGUUAAUUCACCAUAACUAUCAAUUGGAAAACUGAAACCCUUUUGAACUAAUCCACUCACACUAAUUACCUAUCUCCCAAUUCACUAUCUCAUGAUAAUGCAAAGAUAAACCCAUAAAUUAAUUAUUUUGUCUCAUAGGAGCCUAACAGGAACUUCAACCUACGCGAACAACAUACACAUACUAGUAAUAGCCAUUCCUACCAACCAAUCAUAAUCACCGCAAGUGCUACUAGGUAAUGAUUACCAAUUCACAAUUUUCUUUUCAUCAAACAGAAACCUUACCUCAAUUAUCCAUGAUGCCUUUUGGUAAAUAUGUGCCCGCCGCAACAGUUUUCCUCUUUUCGUUCGUGCUUUGACUCUCAAAAAUGUCAGCCUCAUUUAACUCUAAUUUACUCGUAUAUAUGGGCCAAAUGGUACUGAAUAUUCAAUAACUCAUGGACUUGGCCCAUUAAUUAUUAACUAAAAUACUGAUAUGAAAUUACCCACUAAUUAAAUAAUAAUAGAUACUCAGAUACUUCAAAAUUUCCAACCAACUUCACACGCUAAUUAUACGUGACUCGGGUCAACUAUCGAGAGGGCUAAAACGAUAAUUUUAUAUAAAGAAAAAUCAAAAAAUAACCUUCUGGGUCAUUAUACCAGGAGGACACCAAAAGAAUACCAAUUGGAAAUUACACUAACUAGUAUCUAUGUAACUUCAAUUGCAUACCAAAUGGAUACCAAUUACAUACCAGCAUUACUUAAUCAAUUGUUCACUAUAUAUUUGAAAAAUAAUGAACAAUUGAUUAAGUCAUACUGAUAUUUUGUCUUACAUUGUAUCUACUUGUAACGAUCGGGUUUCGUCUUUAUAGAAAAAAUCAAUGGGGAUAAUUUUGGGUUGGAAAUUUUUUUCGUAGUAGUUGGAUUUUUCCCAACCUAGUCCAGAUUUGGACGAAAUCGAAGUCCUUAAGGUGUAGGGAAAUUUGGUAACAAUCGGGUGAUUCAAUUAUGAUUUUGAUUACAUAAGUAGUUACAUAGCUCGUUAAAGAAUCUGUACGACUUUACAGAAUUGAAUUCGGGUGAGUAGAACUCCUGGAAUCAAUCUUGGCGUAAAGGGUAUUUUCUAAGUGUCGUUGGUUAGAGGUGUGUUGUGAAAUAAGAAUUUUGGAAUUUUUGAAUUAGCUCUCUGUCUCGCGUAACCCGCAUUGGCGCCCCUUUUUUCCCCUUUGGUGGGGCUGCUACAGCUGGGUGACGGCCGUUGUGGCGUGCUCGACGCAAAUUAAAGUCGUUAAUAAACCCCUAAACGACCUCAUUAUGCAUUUUUUAACGUUUAGAGCUAAGGAACGAACCUCAGGCGACUCCUACUCAUUUUUUCACCAUUCUUGAGGCUAAAGGUAAGAUUUUCACUCCCCAAAUCCAUUUUUUGAUUCGUAGAACGUAACAGAAUGGGUGAAUAUUGAUGGGGGAGGGGGGAUUUGUUGUAGAUUUUAUGGUGGAAACAACCCUAAUUUGGAUAAUUGGGAUCAUGGAUUUGAUCUAGGGUUCAUAUAAUUGUUAGUAAUCCGGGUAAUUAAUGAUUGUUUAUUGAUUCCUGUAUUAUAUUGAUUGUUUGUAGACCAAGAACAAGCAGAACGAAUCCAGAAAGGGAAGGAUCAAGUUUAUUAGGGUUUCAAGCUUGUUUCGAGGUAGGUGAUGGUUGUGAUUUUAUGAUUGUGUAAUGUAUGCUUGUUCUUGAUUCAUUAUGAUACUUGUAUAUGUAUGAAUGUUGCAAUGUUGAUCACACUUGUUGUAAAUAAGAUAUAUGAAUGAUGAUUGCCAUCAAAUCAUGACUUAAUUAUAUGAUCUUGAAGUUAUACAUGUGUUUGUGAUUGUGGUGUGUUGAAUGGAUCGGUUGCCACGUUCCGGCAUAAAAACACGUCCUGGCAUAACAAUGGGAUCGGGUACCACGUUUCUGUAUGCUAACUGUUUGGGUUUGGGUUCCAUGAGAGGACCAAUGAUGUGAUAUAAAAUGUGAAACUGAUCGUUAUUCGUAAAUGUUGAUAAUGUUGUAUACGUUGAUAUAUAUGCAUGUGAUUAUAUUGUUGUUUUGACUUGUUUAUGUUGCACUAGUGGGAUAGCCGCGUGAUCCUACUAGUACACUGUGGUUGUGUACUGAUACUGCACUUGCUCUUUUUUUUAGUACAGGGCAUCUUCAAGCGGCUGCUGACAGACCUCGCUGAGGAGAUCAGUGAUCGUCACUUCAAAUUCAAGGGUGAGCCAAUUCUUUCGGGCUGUCAUUGGAUUCUCUUUCGUCUAUGUUUAUCAUUUCCAGACUUAGACAUUUGUUUUAGUUAGUUCAUUAGUAUGGGGUUGUAUCUCUUCUUGUUUAGACUUGGUUCAUUAUUAGAUGUUUUGCUACAUUGACUUUUAGGCUCUAGGUUAUUUCUUCCGCAUUGCUUAGUUCAUUGUUAGACUUUUGUUGGAGUUUGUGAGAACUCCCUAUUUCUUUCCUUAGUAUUUAACUUGUUUCCAUAACUUAAAUGCCUUAGUUUUUUGUUUAGUUGAUUUGUUUGGGUUGAAGUAGUGGUUCUCCCACCAGAGGGUUAGUGUGGGUGCCAAUCACGACGAUUUGGGUCGUGACAAAGUUAGUAUCAGAGCCUAGGUUUGUUGAUCUCGAUGUACCAAAACGAGUCUAAUAUAGUCUCGCGGAACGGUACGGGGACGCCUUUACUUUUCUUCGAGAGACUAUAGGACUUUAGGAAAUGUCUUUGUUUUCUCUUGUCUCCUUUCGUGCUGUGACUUGAUUCUAAUUGGUAUCUGACGAUUCAAAUAUGUAUCUAACCUCCUUCACUCUUCUGUUCGCAGAUGGUUAAUACUAGAUUCAACGGUGUUAGGCCCGCAGUUCCUGUCAAUACUCCAGUCAGGGAAUCUGCAGCGAGAGGUCACGGUCGAGACAGAGGUAAAUGAAGAGCUAGGGGUAGAGGUCGUGGAAGAAUAGCGCCUGUUGGAGAUGGAGCUUAUUUUGAGAAUGAUCCUGUGAAUGAGAACCCUCUUGUGCAUCAUGAAGAGAUUGAAGAGGAGAAUAUUGAUGUUGAAGAUGUUGAGGAUGUGGAACAAGAGGAAGAUGUGCAGGUUGGGACUGCAUGUGUUCCUCCUUUGGAUCCAAUGUUGGCUCAACAUAUCAUGUCGUUCUUAAAGGGAUUGAUUGGUCCUGGAGUGCUUCCUUCUGCUCAAGCAACUCAAGCUUCUACUAAUCCUCAUGUUGCUAGCACUGCGCCCAAAGUGGGUGGGACUGGAGGUAAUGAUGCUUUCUUACGUCCUUUGUUGAGUUCUGUUAUGACUGGUAAUGAGCAUGAAAUGUUGACUAAGUUUUUAAAGCUGAAACCUCGUGUUUCUUGGUUCUGAGAGUGAGAAUGCUUAUGAGUUCAUCUUAGAUUGCUAUGAGAGGCUUAAUAAGUUGAGAAUUGUCCAUCAGCAUGGGGUUAAGUUUGUGUCCUUUCAACUUCAAGGUGAGGCUAAGCAGUGGUGGAGAGCUUACACGGAAUGCAGAUCUUCAACUUUACCUCCACUCAUUUGGACCCAGUUUCAUUCUCUGUUUCUAGAGAAGUAUGUGCCUAGGACUUUGAGGGAUCGCAAGAAGGAUGAGUUCAUGGCUUUAGAGCAAGGUGCUAUGAUUGUGGCUGCUUAUGAGGCCAAGUUACGUUCCAUGCUUUGUCUAGAUAUACUACUCAAUUGGUGACUACUGAGGAAGAGAUAAUCGGAUUAUUUAUUAGGGGAUUAAAUUCUGAGUUGCAAGUAAUAUCUGUUCUUAUGACUUCUGCAGGGAGGAGCUUUAAUGAAGUAACAUACUAUGUUGAAAAAGUAGAGGGGGAGAGACAAGACGGUCAAACUAAGGCAUGGGACAAAAAAGCCAAGAACUCGGGUAACUUUCAAGGUUCUUAUUCCAAGGGGUCCAGAAGACCAAGGCUUGUAGCCAAGCCAAUUCAGUCCGCUAUGCCCGCCUCUACAAGUAGUUACUCGGAAACUCCAUCUCAUAAUUUUCAGGAUAGCCAGGGAGAUGCGUCUUUGAUGGGCGGCGGACCAUCUUUUGAUCGUACUUGUUAUAACUGUGGAGAACUUGGGCAUCUGAGGAGAGAUUAUCCUCACCCACGUGUGUUAGAUUCGGCGCAGCAGCAGUCUAUGGCAGUGGUACCCGUGAGAAAUGGUAAUAAUGAUAGAGGACGACCACAAGGUGGGUGAGGAGAUAAUCAGCGAAGUCGUAGAGGUAGAGAAAAUGGUAAUGCAGACAGAGGUAAUGUGCAACCAGGCAGAGAAGUGGUUCGUCAAGAUGAUAGGGCUCAGUGUUAUGCCUUUUGGAGCAGGAAUGAGGUAGAGGCGUCUGACGUGGUGAUCAUAGGUAUUAUUCUUGUCUGUGACCGGAUGGCUAAUGUGUUAUUUAAUCCGGGUUCUACUUAUUCAUAUAUAUCUGUGAGAUUUGCCUCAGAUUUUGAUAUGAUUUGUGAUAUUCUUGAUGCCCUUAUUCGUGUUUCCACCCCAGUUGGAAAGUCAGUCAUAGUUACCCAUGUCUAUCGUGCUUGUCCUAUUAUGUUUAUGGGAUUUUAGACUUAGGUUCAUUUAGUGAUUUUGGAUAUGAUUGACUUUGACAUAAUCUUAAGCAUGACUUAGUUGUCCCCCUAUUAUGUUGUGCUUAAUUGUAAUACUAAGUCUGUAACUCUAGAAAUUCUGGAAAGGGAAAAAUUAGAGUGGGAAGGGGUGUACAAGUCUAAGCAAGCUAAGAUUAUAUCCAUCAUUCGGGCUAGUAAGCUGGUAGAGCAGGGUUGUUUGGCUUAUUUUGCUCAUAUUAGAGAUGUUGAGAUUAAGACUCCAUCCAUUGAGUCUAUUCAUGUGGUGUCUGAAUUUAGUGAAGUGUUUCCUAAUGAUUUGAUUAGUAUGCCUCCGGAUAGAGAUAUAGAUUUUUGCAUUGAUUUAGAGCCUGGUACGCGUCCCAUUUCUAUCCCUCCAUAUCGCAUGUGCUCCGGCAGAAUUAAGAGAGCUUAGGGCUCAAAUCUAAAAACUUCUUGAUAAGAGAUUUAUUCGUCCUAGUGCUUCCCCUUGGGGUGCUCCAGUUUUGUUUGUUAAGAAGAAUGAUGGUAGUAUGAGAAUGUGUAUAGAUUACCGGCAAUUGAAUAGGGUCACUAUUCGAAACAAGUAUCCCUUGCCUCGAAUAGAUAAUCUUUUUGACCAAUUGCAAGGUACAUCAGUUUUCUCUAAAAUUGAUCUAAGGUCUGGCUACCAUCAAUUGAAAAUUAGGCCUGAGGAUAUGCCUAAGACGGCGUUUAGAACCUAUUAUGGGCACUAUGAGUUUUUGGUCAUGUCUUUUGGUUUGACCAAUGCGCAUGCAGCUUUUAUGAGUUUAAUGAAUGAGGUGUUCAAGCCAUUUCUUGAUUCUUUCGUCAUAGUCUUUAUUGAUGAUAUUUUGGUAUAUUCGAAAACUGAGGAAGAUCAUUCCAACCAUCUUCAUAGUGUUUUGGGUGUUCUUGGAAAGCAAAAUCUAUAUGCUAAAUUUUCUAAAUGUGAAUUUUGGUUGAAAUCAGUUGCAUUUUUGGGGCAUGUAGUUUCAAAAGAAGGGGUAAUGGUAGAUCCUCAAAAGAUUGAGGCGGUUAAGAAUUGGGUUUGACCAAGUUCUGUGACUGAAGUUAGGAGUUUUGUGGGGCUCGCUAGCUAUUAUCAUAGAUUUGUGAAGAACUUUGCUUCUAUUGCCACCCACUUGACUAAUUUGACCAAAAAUGAGAUACCAUUUGAAUGGAUUGAAAAGUGUGAUGAGAUCUUUCACAAGAUCAAGACUCUCUUGACCAUCACGCUCAUUCUAGCAUUACCUAUUGAAGGUAAGGAUUUUAUUGUUUAUUGUGAUGCUUCACAUUCUGGUUUGGGUGGUGUGUUAAUGCAGGAUAAGAAUGUUAUAGCCUAUGUGUCACACUAAUUGUGUAACGACCCUAAAAAUGAAAUAGGAAGAACUCGAGCCUCACAUGUGUAGCAAAGUUGGUAACUUGAUUAAAUAAUAUAAAUCGGCUUUUUGAGUUUAGUUCAAAGAGAUUUGGGGUCCGUAGAUGCUGCCAGUUUUUGACAUUUUAAUAUUUAGUUGGGGCUUUGGGAAAUAAUUAGUUAUUAGACUAAGGUCUUAGGGGGUCAGUUAGGAGUUAAUUAAAUGACUUAUAUAAGGUUUUAAGUCUUUUAACAAGUCAUUUACUCUCUUUUCCCAAAAUCAAAAUCCCAAAGUCUACCCUCUCUCUAUAUUUCUCUCUAACUCAAAGAAGAAGAUGAAGUGGGAGCUAGGGUUGAGGAUUUCAUGGUGUUUCUUCUUCAAUUUUCGUGGGAUUCAUGAAGGUUAAGGUAUGGGGAUCCUUUAUCCUUGAUUCCUUUUCCAUUCAAGGAGCCAAAUCAAAGUGUUUUGAAAGUUCUUCAAAAACUCAAUAAAGUCCUAAUUUCGAUUCUAAGCAUUGGUUCUUGCAUUAAAUGAUUUUUAAUGAUGAUUUAUGUUAUUAUUGAUGUUUGUUGAUGGUUUUUAAGAAAGAAAAUUCCAUGAACCCCAUGUCUUUCCAAGUUUCCUAAAUUUCACCAUAAAGUGGGUAUAUUGAUUUUGAUUCGAUGAUAAUAGAAUUAUGUUUAGAUUGUUGUGGGCUGUUGAUUUAUGCCAUUAACUAUAUCUAAUUGUGUGGAAUUGUUAGUGAAUUGAGUAAUUGGGUUCAUAGCCUUGAAUGGGCAUUUUGUGAAUUAAUAUUCAUGAUGAUUAUUGAAUUAUGUUUAGAUUGAAUUAUUUUAUUGGUUUCUAUUGUUAUCUACACCUAUCUUAUGGUGAAUUGUGGUAGAAUUUAGUAAAGGUGAUUAUGGCUUUGGAGAAUGGUAAGUUGACCUAACUUCAUUGUUAAAGUAAAGUUGAUUUAGGAUUGUGAUAGAUUGAUGUGUGAUCCACCUAUGGUGGAGGUGUUUACUAAUUGAAUGUAUUAUGAUCAUGGUCUUAAAUGCAUUAUAUGAAUAAUGAGUACUACCAUGAUAUUGUGUUGUGAAUGUGAUGUGAAGGAGUUGAAUGAGAAUCUAAUAAAGUAAAGGUAAUUAUGUUGUAAAUGCAAGGGUGUUGUGAUCGAAAGCAUGUUUUCUCUUAACACUUAUGAAUGAAGAUGAUGGAAUGUGAUGUGCCUUAUAUUGUUGAAUGUCAUCUCUUGACUUGGUAGACUUAGGUGCUCUUCUUGAUAAAUGAAAAGCUAUGUUGAAUAUAAGUCGAUUGGCAAUGACAUUCCUUUCACAUGUAAGUGAUGAAAUCUGUUUCUGAGUUGGGUAGUGUUUAGUAACUUAUGCAUAUUUCAUUCUCUAGAACUUCGUUUACAAUGAAUAAAUAUGAUUUGGAAAGCUAACUUGUAUACCUACAACUCUUAUGUUUAUGUAAAACUCUAAUUUAACUUUUAUGGACACGAAAUAUGGGACGCAACAUAGGGAAAGUUCUGCCCAUAUUUCGAAAAUUGAAAUCAUGUAUGAUUAGCUGUUAGUGUUUUGAAUAUAUCUUUUUGUACAAAAUAUAUUUUGCGGUGAUUCUUGUUUAUUUUCAACCUUAAGAUAUGUAGUUACAUCUUUCAUGAAGGUUAUAAAGUCUAGUUUUGCCGUUUUCCUUUUCAAAUCUAACUUGCGACUUGAGGUACCAGGCUGG